GCUAACGACGGGACAGCAGCCGGGGGAAGACGGAGGGGGCAAGCGGUGGCCGGAUUUAGUGGGCGUAAAGAGCGUGUAGGCGGCCUGGAAGGUCAGCUGUGAAAACUCGAGGCUCAACCUCGAGACGUCGGUUGAAACCACCUGGCUAGAGUCCGGAAGAGGAGUGUGGAAUUCCCGGUGUAGCGGUGAAAUGCGCAGAUAUCGGGAAGAACACCCGUGGCGAAGGCGGCACUCUGGGACGGUACUGACGCUGAGACGCGAAAGCGUGGGGAGCGAACAGGAUUAGAUACCCUUGUAGUC
rnacentral:rRNA from 1 species